AUUAAGUAAAUUAAGUCUUGAAGCUUCCAAAAGAAGUCUUUUUUUUUUUUUCUUUUUUUCAAAUAACUCAGAUCCUCUACAGAUUAGUAAGAGUAUUUAAAACAUUUACAGUUCAGAAUAACCCAGGAUAUUUCCAAAUAAGCAAUCUCAAAAGUAAAUUUGAUUAAUUAUAAGAGGUUAACAGAGAAUUUUUGGAAAAUAACUUGUAGUGUUCAGUUAAAAGACAGCUGUGGGAUUAUCUGUACUUUGAUGGUGAUAAUUAUUCACCUGAAUACACAGAAAAUAUAGGUUCAGCACUGUGAGAAGUCUCAACCAUAAAUGCCUUUAUUUCUCACUUUUGUAAAUGGAUAGCACUUAAAAUGCCAUUAUGGUUGCUAGGUUCCUUCUCAAAAGACAUGUAAUCAUUAAAAAGUGUAAUAUAAAUAAGAGAACAGAUAUUCUGCAAUGCAAUAGGAACCCAUAAAUGCUUGUGCUAUUUCUUUUGCUUGAUGUUUAUUUUGAAGACAUGCUGAAAUGCUUUUGUCAUAUUCUUUUUGGUUUUUUUUUUAUUGUGUCUUAUGUUUCCCUACAGUCAAAUUAUUAGUCUUAUUUAAUAAUUUUCUUUAACUUUAGAUAAACCUUCUCUGAAGCCCCAAAUACCCAUGAGGUGCUGGUCCCAGCUUUAAUCCUGGACCAACAGUUCCCUGUCUAUGUAGGGGCUACUCACAGGAUUCCACCAGCAGGUAGCACUUACUAAUUUAAUGGUCACCUUAUUGUAAUCCUAAACCACUCCUUUGAAGGAGGAAACAAUAAGGUUUUCCAUGGUUGAAUGAUGAUGAUCAGUGAAGACUGAAUUGGCGAGAAUGAUCUCUAAAUACAGGUAUUGUAUUUGAUGAAAGAUAUAUGGUGGAAAUAGUUGGUGACAUAAAUAAUCAGUGUUUUCAUGUGUAACUUGAAACUGCAAUUAGAAUAUGAUAAUAUAAAAAGAAAAAAAUAAAAAGAAGAAAGUAGUACUGAGUGACAACAUGUAUAUGCAAUGCUAUUCUAGUAGUUAAACUGGAUCAUGAAUUCUUUUCCUUUGAUUCAAGAUGUCAAUUUUUCCAUUAUGCCCCAAGGGUCUCUAAACUAUGAUGAUUCCAGCUGAUUGCAAAUUCAAUAUCAAAAUCAAUACCAA